UACGUUUAGUUUUGAUUUGCCACAUAAGCCAGACAUUUGACCGAUUAGUAGAUAAGAAUACACCAAGUAGCAAUACAGAAAAUGUUCCGCGCGCGACCAGUUGAGCACCCAUGCCAGAAAGCUCAAUGAUUCUGCCCGUCGAUGACUCCGUUCGGCGAUGAUCCCGUCCGUCGAUCGCCCAGAACGACGACAGGUAGCAAGCCUCAAUACACACAGAUGAAAGCAAGACGAUCAUCCCAGAAAGAAGAGCGAACGAGAGCUCGCCACGACGAAGUUUUCACUACACGCACACAGAAGCUCCAAGCCUAUGCGAAUAGGAGAGAGGCACUCUCGCCGCCACCACAGUCCCACACUUUGCACUUGUUAAUACGGCUAAUGAAACACACACACGAGUGCAGGCCGACGGCGGACAGCCGACAGCACCAGACGGAGCGAAAGCAGAGUCAAUCGUCAUUAGUCCGGUCCGGUGGGAAGAUUACACGUUUACGGUGGCGUGCGGAUUACAGAAAAGUGUGAGUGUGAGCAUGUCGUGAAAGGUUGUGGAUUUCAGACCGAAGAGUGAUUUCCCCCACGCACAGCAAGCACCUAGCUAGGAAGUACCGCAAGUGAAAGUGUAUUUUGUGCCGGAUUCGCUGUGGCCUAAGCUGCUGGAGAGCACCCCGACCGGAUUAAGUGUAGCGCACUUCUUGCCAGCUGACAAGCAGCAGCGGCUCGUGACGCGUCGAGAGCAAAGAAAAGGCAGUCCGCAACGCUAGAGGGAAUUUUCCUCGGAGUAGCUAGCCUCCGCCAAGGAAAACACGUGCAUGCAGUGCGAUUGGUGUGAGAGCGACACUGAGGGCAUCCAUUCGAAGGCGGUCGGUGAACGGACGAUCAAAAAGCCCCGCAAAGGGUGAGUUACAAAAAAAGAAGAUCACAAAGCACAUCCGACUAAAGGCGCCUCUGUGUUCCACAGGGCCUUUGUGUUUUCUUUAUUUUCUUGAUUCUCCGACAGCGUUUGUCGUUUGGAGCGCUUUCCAUUCAUCGCUUUCGCAUCCAUUACCGUACCGUGGAUAGGUGCAACUUUGGACCUUCGAACUCUUCUAACAACUCGGUAGCGGCUACAUCCACCGCCUAACGGACUGCGAAGGAGCAAUCGAGGAUCGCCGACGUGUUUUCGGUGGCCAGUGGACCUCGGGCCAAAGUGUAUGUUCCAGAAUCGGAAUCGAAUUUCCGGUGACUGACGAAACUCGAUCCGCAGUGCUUCGUGGGUGAGCCAAGGUCGUCGUGGUAGUGGCAGCCACGCCGGCGCGAAACGACUUCGUGAAGGUGACAGCAGUUUGGAGACAGAGGUUCCCAAUCCGGGGGCGAUCAGCAGCGAUGAGCGGGCAGGAGGAAGCGCCUGGCGGGUGCGCACAGUGAGCAAUAGGGCGAUGAAGCGGUGCCGUGAGUACCACCCUAGUCUAAGCAAAUGAUUGUAAGUGGGACAAAGCAUAGAUUAAGCUACAAGCAGCUAGAGAUAGAGUUCAGGCGGUCAUGAUGGCUAUCAAUAUAUGUAUAGGGUGUCCCAGAAAGUAUGGGCACAACUUUGUAUAGCGAAAAUACAAUCUUUUUCUUAACAAACAACAGUUUUUAUAUUUUUGUAUUUUUAUUCAGAGUAUUUUAAUUGAUACCUGUGAAGAGUUUAUACAUUAAAAAUGGUUUCUAUAUGCAGAAUGAUUAAAAUGGAAGAACAUUUUCUAAAACUUCUGCACAAACUACUUUUUUACGGUUUUGCCAAAUAUCCAAAUUCGAAACAUUUUUUUCGAAUUUUUUUCACAUGAUACAUUCGAAAACAUGUUUCCUCAGAUGGUUGAUUGAAAUUUUUUAUAAAAAUAUGUUUUGAUUGUGCGUACGGGCAAAUCAUAAUUUUGAGAAAACUGAAAAUUCACCUUUUCUAUUUCUGGAUUAGACAUGCCCACAUACAUUCGAGUUUUAAAACAUGUUUUGACGAGAAUAAAAACAAUUCAAUCUACACUUUAUAAAGCUGGAGCAUUUAUUGAACUUAUAGUGAAAUAAAAAUGUAAUUUUCUGCAUGUUGUGAUAUAUAUUCAGAAGCUUGUUUUCAACUAUUAAAAAACAGGUUUUCAAAGAUAUCGAUUUUGGUGUUUCAAUUCAUUUUUCAGGUUCAAAAGUAUAUGUUUCCAAUUCGAACUUAGGGUUGUAUAAUAGAUACGCAUGUAGAAAUACACGGAUAUAUUUUUUGAAAUUUUUAUCGAGCUUAAUUUCAUGCGUGGAAAAUAAUUUGUUAAGCGAUGUUAUUGAAAAAUAUAGCAAUUUGUGCAGAAGCUUUAAAAGGUCUUUCAGGAAAUGUUCUACCGCAUUCAAACGAAGUGUGAAAUGCAAAUUUUAAUGAUUGGCAUUUGAUGUUGACAUAUUAAGGCAGGAUAUGUGUGAAAAUAAAGUUUGUUUAUGCAUCCAUUCCCAAAUGGCAGAGCUGCAAAGUUGUGCCCAUACUUUCUGGGACACCCUAUAA